rnacentral:rRNA from 1 species
GACGAACGCUGGCGGCGUGCCUAAUACAUGCAAGUUGAGCGAUGAAGAUUGGUGCUUGCCCCAAUUUGAAGAGCAGCGAACGGGUGAGUAACGCGUGGGGAAUCGGCCUUGGAGCGGGGGACAACAUUUGGAAACGAAUGCUAAUACCGCAUAACAACUUUAAACAUAAGUUUUAAGUUUGAAAGAUGCAAUUGCAUCACUCAAGGCUGAUCCCGCGUUGUAUUAGCUAGUUGGUGAGGUAAAGGCUCACCAAGGCGAUGAUACAUAGCCGACCUGAGAGGGUGAUCGGCCACAUUGGGACUGAGACACGGCCCAAACUCCUACGGGAGGCAGCAGUAGGGAAUCUUCGGCAAUGGACGAAAGUCUGACCGAGCAACGCCGCGUGAGUGAAGAAGGUUUUCGGAUCGUAAAACUCUGUUGGUAGAGAAGAACGUUGGUGAGAGUGGAAAGCUCAUCAAGUGACGGUAACUACCCAGAAAGGGACGGCUAACUACGU